AGCGUGGAGACAGGUGGUGCAUGGCUGUCGUCAGCUCGUGUCGUGAGAUGUUGGGUUAAGUCCCGCAACGAGCGCAACCCUCACCCCUUGUUGCCAUCAGGUUAUGCUGGGCACUCUAGGGGAACUGCCCCGGUCAACGGGGAGGAAGGCGGGGAUGACGUCAAGUCAUCAUGCCCCUUACGUCCUGGGCUACACACGUGCUACAAUGGCCGGUACAAAGGGAUGCAACACCGCGAGGUAGAGCUAAACCCAAAAAGCCGGUCUAAGUUCAGAUUGGAGUCUGCAACUCGACUCCAUGAAGGAGGAAUCGCUAGUAAUCGCGUAUCAGCACGACGCGGUGAAUACGUUCCCGGGCCUUGUACACACCGCCCGUCACACCACGAAAGCCAGCUGUACUCGAAGUCGCUGAG
rnacentral:rRNA from 1 species